UUUGAAGAUGAUUUGAAUAUACACACUUGUUUCCAUCUGAUUGGUUUUCACCUGAGUGUUCUGAACAAUCGACCAUAGAUGUGAUCCCAUGAUAACCUUCAAAUCUGAAUCAAACCCAUGAAAAUCAUGCCGAUCUAUAACCUCGGUCAUGAAAAACGUGACAGUCCAGGAAUCCGGGGGUCUGGAUUCUGACGUCACCACAUAAAACCCAUUUUUAAACACUUUUGAAAUCCUGUAUUUUUUUUUUUUAAAGAUAAUGAAUCCAAAUAAUUUAAAACUUGAAAACAUUUAAUAAAAGAUUUGAAAGACGUUAAAUAAAAGAUUUAAAAGAGAACAUCUUCACCCCCAAAACAACAGGAUCGCUUCCAGGUUACAGUAUUGAAAUUAGAAUCAACCACUAAUAUUACACAACAUCUCUUACCAAAUCAGAUCAUCUUCGAUAAGAAGAAUCACUGUCAACUAUUCCAGCUUGCACCAACCUCAUCAACUUUCCUGAACACUCCUCGACCACUGGAUCCUCAACUCUGUCUCCUCGCCUAGCAUUAGCCUUACUCACAAUCUCAAUCAAUCAUCUCAUCUUUAAGCCUUUCUGAAAUGGUUAGAAAGGAAUAGCAAGGGUGAGCAACAAUGCUCAGCAAGUAAUAAUAAACAAUGAUAGUUCUGAAAUGAUAUAAUAGAAGUUCACGAGUUCAAGAUAUAAGAGGAUUCAACCUGAGUUCAUGAGUUCAUGGUAUUGUAUAGAAUGAUUUACAAUACCUUGCAGCAUUUAAACUGAGAAAUUCAAUCUUUCCAAAGAAUUAUUGAAUUGGACUAUCACAUUUUAAUUAAAACCAAGGUUAGGCAGCUGAUCAGUUCCGCACUAACCCCGAGCAGGCCCCGCCAUGCUCUAUCACUGGAUCCAAGGCACUCAUUGGCCUAACAUGACCACGAAUCUGGUCCACAGGUUUAUAUAAAAACAAUAAUCCAAUUCUCUAAUUCAAUUCAAGAAGCCAAUGUAAAUUAACAGAACAUCAUCAUAAAUAUCAUCAACAACAGAAUAAUUCCAAUUCAAACUUUGAUAAUAAUCUAUUCAUAAAUCAUGAUCCAUCAUUUCAUAAAUCACAGUUCAGGAAAUCCUCAACUAUUCAGUAUCCUCCAUUAUCGGCUAAGCAACUGAAUUUAGCCUGCUAAACCAGCAUGACAAUGGCGGGUUGAAUAAUCAAGAAGAUCCCAAUUCAUUCAAAGCUCUAACUAUCACUGAGCAACACAUGCUUCAAUGACAAUCUGAACUUCGAAUUAAUUUGUAAAACGGAAAUUCUUUAGAAACUUGAAGAUUAGAAAGAAUGGGUCAGAAUACUCGCACUUUCGAACAUUGAAAAGAAAGGUAUGAAUACUUGAAACAUAUACCAAAGGAAUGGAUCAGAAUAUUUGCAAUAUAUCCAAGAGAAAGGUUUAGGAUACUUGCCUUAAAUCUGACUCCAGUCUCACAUCUCAAUCUCAUCUUUCCACUUUCACAAUCUAUGCAUCUCAUAGUCUCUAGACCAUCUCUGGCU
rnacentral:lncRNA from 1 species